UACGGGGGGGGUAAGCGUUGUUCGGAAUUACUGGGCGUAAAGGGCGCGUAGGUGGCCUUCUAAGUCGAACGUGAAAUCCCCGGGCUCAACCCGGGAACUGCGUCCGAUACUGGAAGGCUUGAAUCCGGGAGAGGGAUGCGGAAUUCCAGGUGUAGCGGUGAAAUGCGUAGAUAUCAAGUGGAACACCGGUGGCGAAGGCGGCCUUCUGGACGGUGACUGACGCUGAGACGCGAAAGCGUGGGGAGCAAACAGG
rnacentral:rRNA from 1 species